rnacentral:rRNA from 1 species
UGGGGAAUUUUGGACAAUGGGGGAAACCCUGAUCCAGCCAUCCCGCGUGUGCGAUGAAGGCCUUCGGGUUGUAAAGCACUUUUGGCAGGAAAGAAACGUCAUGGGUUAAUACCCCGUGAAACUGACGGUACCUGCAGAAUAAGCACCGGCUAACUACGUGCCAGCAGCCGCGGUAAUACGUAGGGUGCAAGCGUUAAUCGGAAUUACUGGGCGUAAAGCGUGCGCAGGCGGUUCGGAAAGAAAGAUGUGAAAUCCCAGAGCUCAACUUUGGAGCGGCAUUUUUAACUACCGGGCUAGAGUGUGUCAGAGGGAGGUGGAAUUCCGCGUGUAGCAGUGAAAUGCGUAGAUAUGCGGAGGAACACCGAUGGCGAAGGCAGCCUCCUGGGAUAACACUGACGAUCAUGCACGAAAGCGUGGGGAGCAAACAGG